rnacentral:snRNA from 1 species
GCGUGGUGUCCGGUGCGCCCCCGGCGGCCC